CAAGGUGACUCACCUCAUCAAACAGCUGCAGCAUGAUGGGCAAAUCCUAUGUGAAACAAAUCAGUGACCCUGCUGCACACCUGUGCUCCCAACGACAAAUCCCAAGGCUGCUGGAAUUAUCUGAGGCCCAAAUGACAAGACCCCGGCAGUCAUGCUGACAAGCCCUCCAAACCAUGCUUCAAUCAAGGACUGUCAUCACUCACCUCGUGUCGCUCCUGGAACUCGGACAUGUCCAGCCUGAUGAAGCCCUGUGUGGAAACAAGGAGGCCUCUCCUGUUCUGAUCACCACAUCAUCCACCCACCCAUCCAUCCAUUCCACGUUUCCUGAGGGCAUCCUGUGUGUGCUGGACACCGGAGUUACAACAGGGAACAAGUCUUGGUCUCUGUCCUUAAGAAGCACCCCAUCGAAUGGUGCAGACAUGGACAAAGUCAGUCACGAUCAGUGUGGACUGUGGUGCGAGGGAGGAGAGAAACACUCAGAUGGCUCCAGAAUGCCUCUCAACUCUGCAAGUCUGUGUGAUGCCCGUGUCCCUUUGAUUUACUUUUCUUCAAAAUGAAUAUAUUUUAAAAUGUAUUUACAUUUCUUCAUUUCAUUAAAAAAGAUAUCCAUAACAUAG
rnacentral:lncRNA from 1 species